rnacentral:rRNA from 1 species
UCAAGAAUCUUCCCCAAUGGACGAAAGUCUGAGGGAGCGACGCCGCGUGCAGGAUGAAGUCCUUCGGGAUGUAAACUGCUUUUGUGUGGGAAUACUUACGAAGGUACCACACGAAUAAGUGCCUGCUAAACUCGUGCCAGCAGCAGCGGUAAUACGAGUGGCACAAGCGUUAUCCGGUUUUACUGGGCGUAAAGGGUCCGCAGGUGGUCUUACAAGUUCGGUGUUAAAUCCUGGUGCUCAACAUCAGGGCCGCAUUGAAAACUGUAAGACUAGAGGCUGGGAGAGGUACAUGGAAUUGCCGGUGUAGGGGUAAAAUCCGUUAAUAUCGGCAAGAACACCAAAGGCGAAGGCAAUGUACUGGAACAGUCCUGACACUCAGGGACGAAAGCGUGGGGAGCGAAUGGGAUUAGAUACCCCCGUAGUCC